GAUGAACGCUGGCGGCGUGCCUAAUACAUGCAAGUCGAGCGAACGGACGAGAAGCUUGCUUCUCUGAUGUUAGCGGCGGACGGGUGAGUAACACGUGGAUAACCUACCUAUAAGACUGGGAUAACUUCGGGAAACCGGAGCUAAUACCGGAUAAUAUUUUGAACCGCAUGGUUCAAAAGUGAAAGACGGUCUUGCUGUCACUUAUAGAUGGAUCCGCGCUGCAUUAGCUAGUUGGUAAGGUAACGGCUUACCAAGGCAACGAUGCAUAGCCGACCUGAGAGGGUGAUCGGCCACACUGGAACUGAGACGCGGUCCAGACUCCUACGGGAGGCAGCAGUAGGGAAUCUUCCGCAAUGGGCGAAAGCCUGACGGAGCAACGCCGCGUGAGUGAUGAAGGUCUUCGGAUCGUAAAACUCUGUUAUUAGGGAAGAAUAUAUGUGUAAGUAACUGUGCACAUCUUGACGGUACCUAAUCAGAAAGCCACGGCUAACUACGUG
rnacentral:rRNA from 1 species